rnacentral:rRNA from 1 species
UGUCCUCUAAAUAGGGACCAGUAUGAAUGGCAACAUGAGAGGGAGACUGUCUCUUUAGGCCGGCCAAUGAACCUGAUCUGCCUGUACAAACGCAGGCAUGAAAAAACAAGACAAAAAGACCCUGUGAAACUUUAAAUGUCCAUCAACACACUGAUUAACGCAUUUUUGGUUGGGGCAACCAAGGAGAAACACAAAUCUCACAACCUGUCACACGGCAAACAGGCCAACUGACACCAUCAGCAGACCCAGUAUUACUGACUAAGGAACCAAGCUACUCCAGGGAUAACAGCGCUACAUUCUUGAAGAGUCCAUAUCAACAAGAAUAUCUACGACCUCGAUGUUGGAUUAGGGUAUCCUAAUGGCGCAGAAGCUAUUAAGGGCUCGUUUGUUCAACGAUUAAAA